UGAGUAACCUGCCCUUAACUCUGGGAUAAGCCUGGGAAACUGGGUCUAAUACCGGAUAUGACUCCUCAUCGCAUGGUGGGGGGUGGAAAGCUUUUUGUGGUUUUGGAUGGACUCGCGGCCUAUCAGCUUGUUGGUGAGGUAAUGGCUCACCAAGGCGACGACGGGUAGCCGGCCUGAGAGGGUGACCGACCACACUGAGACUGAGACACGGCCCAGACUCCUACGGGAGACAG
rnacentral:rRNA from 1 species